UCAUAUGUCGCGCGCCAUUAUAAGAAAGUUGAAGGAGUGUGUCUUUUGAUAUGGAUUUCGGAAGAUGAGCAAAUCCACUGCUCGUGUAAGGGAUUUGAACAUUCAAGAAUUCUGUGCAGACAUGCUCUUCGACUAUUAAUUAGUAAGAAUUCUUUUCAUCUUCCGGACAAGAAUUUUCCAUUUAGGUGGAGAUGGGAUAGUUCAUUUAUACCUACGGAUCAGGAAGGUAGUCGACCAGUAAAAGAAGAGCACUAUCAUGCCUUACAUUCUCUUACAGAUACUCUUAUGACAAAGUCAUUGGUCUCUAAGGAGCGGUUUAACUAUGCCCAUAAGGAACUCACAACACUCCUUAAUCAUGUUAAAAAUAUAAUAAUAAAAUUAUGAACUCACAACACUCCUUAUGAUGAGCUUGCUCCAGAAAUAUCAACUAAUAAUUUUAGUGAGUCUUAGAUUUUCUCAAAGUCGCAGAUUUGCCUAAUUACAGUCGGUUAACUGUCUCCAAAAGUAAUUGCAGAUUACAUGGCCAUGGUUGUGAACUAUGCAAGUUAGAUUUUAUUUGGAAUAGGGGUUGAAGUAUAUAGAAUCAUUAGAGAUGAAGCUGUGUUUUCACAUUUCCAUCCAUGACAUUUGUGAAUUGUGAGUUCCUAUAAAAAUGUGAAAAGGGGGAAAAAACACUGUUUCUGUACAAUGCAGGUUAUGUUAUUGACCUCAUUGCCUCCUAUUCUUUGAGAUGAAUGUAUGUAAUUCUAGAUCUUGUUUUAGUGGAUAGUAAUGUACUCAUAAAUUGUGGAGUCUGUUAUUUAUAGGGGAACUUGUGAAUAAGUCAUCUUCAAGUUUUAUGUUGUCUAUUCAUUUUAUUUCAGAAGCUUUCUGGUGUUAUUGCAGAAUAUGUGUCAAAUGGGUCUGGCCGGGUCAAUUAUUGGAGAUUGAACUUCUUUUUUUUUUUUUUUUUGACUAUUUUAUUAUUAUUGAGAUUUUGAGAUCUAGAAUUAAUUUUGUGGGGAUUUUGGGUUGCAAAUAUAUGUUUUUAGCUGUGGGGGGUAAAUUUUGUUUCAGUUAAUCUCAUGUUUGGGAUUGAAAUUCUUUACUAAAAAAAACUUAUUAUGGAUUUCUAAUAAUUCAAGUCAGUUUUAGUCAGGUUUGGGUUUGGUCAGGUUUCAGGUUUUUUUUUUUUUUAUAUAGGUUCAGCAUAAGUCUGUUCUUGGUUCUAUGCAGACAGAUCAGAAUUCAAGAUAGCAGCAACGAAUCCAAGAGCACGAGUUAGGGACUUUGUUUCCGAUGCUUUAGGAGUUCAUCUUCGUUAAGUUGGCCAAGGAAAAAGAAAAGAUGAGAAAACUCUUGAGGUGGUAUGGUGUGGUUCUAGAUCGCUUGGUUCUACCUCACAGGUCUACACUCCAAGGAAUGCGCCUUAUGCUAGUGAGGAAUUUUAUGUGGUUCGUGAGCAAUGGGCUAUGUUUUUUACCAACAAGUAUUUAUUAUUGUCCUGAGAGCGCUUGAUCGAGUUGGUUUAGUUGUUACAGAACAAUCUUUUAUAUUAAAAUGUAUGUGUACGUUGAAAUUUGAACGUAUACUUAAAUGUAGUACGUGCACUUUGG